rnacentral:rRNA from 1 species
AGUGAACGCUGGCGGUAGGCCUAACACAUGCAAGUCGAACGGCAGCACAGUAGGAGCUUGACUCCUUGGGUGGCGAGUGGCGGACGGGUGAGGAAUACAUCGGAAUCUACUCUGUCGUGGGGGAUAACGUAGGGAACUUACGCUAAUACCGCAUACGACCUACGGGUGAAAGCAGGGGAUCUUCGGACCUUGCGCGAUUGAAUGAGCCGAUGUCGGAUUAGCUAGUUGGCGGGGUAAAGGCCCACCAAGGCGACGGAUCCGUAGCUGGUCUGAGAGGAUGGAUCAGCCACAUACGGGACUGAGACACGGUCCAGACUCCUACGGGAGGCAGCAGUGGGGAAUAUUGGACAAUGGGCGAAAGCCUGAUCCAGCCAUGCCGCGUGUGUGAAGAAGGUCUUCGGAUUGUAAAGCACUUUAAGUUGGGUAGGAAGGGCAGUAAGUUAAUACCUUGCUGUUUUGACG